GGGUUGUGAGGUUAAGCGACUAAGCGUACACGGUGGAUGCCCUGGCAGUCAGAGGCGAUGAAGGACGUGCUAAUCUGCGAUAAGCGUCGGUAAGGUGAUAUGAACCGUUAUAACCGGCGAUUUCCGAAUGGGGAAACCCAGUGUGAUUCGUCACACUAUCAUUAACUGAAUCCAUAGGUUAAUGAGGCGAACCGGGGGAACUGAAACAUCUAAGUACCCCGAGGAAAAGAAAUCAACCGAGAUUCCCCCAGUAGCGGCGAGCGAACGGGGAGCAGCCCAGAGCCUGAAUCAGUGUGUGUGUUAGUGGAAGCGUCUGGAAAGGCGCGCGAUACAGGGUGACAGCCCCGUACACAAAAAUGCACAUGCUGUGAGCUCGAUGAGUAGGGCGGGACACGUGGUAUCCUGUCUGAAUAUGGGGGGACCAUCCUCCAAGGCUAAAUACUCCUGACUGACCGAUAGUGAACCAGUACCGUGAGGGAAAGGCGAAAAGAACCCCGGCGAGGGGAGUGAAAAAGAACCUGAAACCGUGUACGUACAAGCAGUGGGAGCAC
rnacentral:rRNA from 1 species